GGAAUCAAGGAUAGCUCGUUGAAUGCACCAGUUUCUAAUGGAUCACUGAAGUUAAGCAACAUUUAUCGUGGUUGGUAUUCGGAUGGGUGACCAUCUGGACGAUCAAGUACUGCUGGCC
rfam:Asian citrus Psyllid, Diaphorina citri - Florida Strain, whole genome shotgun sequence.